CGAGUCAAGCUCAUGCGUGCUGCAGCAUGUGCCUCUUGAGUGCCAAGACCCUAUCUGUGAUCUGAACUGUGUUUUCAACUUCAUUUCCAGUGGCGAGGCACUGUUGAUCCUGUACCAUGGAGUACUGCCUUCACACCUCCUCUGAAAAUCUCUCCAAGCUGGUGAGCUGGGCCCACAGCCACGGGACCAUCUGCAACCUCAUCCCCAACCUCAAGCACCUGCUCUCUGUGGGGAACCAUGACAACCUGAUAGCCAUGUGGAGCUGUAGUGCUGGCCAUGCCUACCACUGGCCCUUGGCUGCCACUUGCCGGGCCGGCUCCCAGGAGGUCAUCUGCUUCCAGGACAGCCGCAGCUUCACCUCUGACAGCUCCAGCAUAAUGGGGGUGUCGUCAGAGACACAGACCACCUCCCUUGAGCGCUACCCAAGCCGGCUGGAGAAGACCAAACUGGAAUAUACCUGCAUUCGUGAGUCCUGUGACUUCUCAUUCAGUGAGCCAUCAGAGAUGGAUGAGCCUGGAGAGGAGUGUGAGGAUGAGUCCACUAUCUUUGACAUGGUCUGCGAGUCCUCUGUCACCGAUGAGGACAGCGACUUUGAGCUGCAUCCCCAGCAGGCUCCCACCGGUCCCUGCAAGCGGCUGGCCAGCAGUGUGCACACCAGAGGCCAGGCCCAGACUACUGACGAGAGUGAUAGUGAGACAACCACCAAAAAGAUCAAGAAAGAGCUCCCCGAAGACUACUACAUAGUGGCCAAUGCUGAGCUGACAGCUGGUGCCCAUGGGCCAGCCCUGGCUCUGAUACAGAUGCCCACAUCCAAGCCUCGGGCCCAGGCUGGGCCUUCCUGCCCAAGCACCUCUAAGACCCUGCCCCAGCCUGCUGUGCGCCCCAACCCUGACCCACAGCACCGCUCUACCUCCCCCAUCAGCUUGUCCCAGCUGACAAGAGAAAUUCUGUCCGGGGGGCCCCUGGCCUCCCUGGCACAGUGUAUGGAUGGUACCCCUGUGACUGCCCGGCAGGUGUCAGCUAACAGCUCCAACACUAUUGAUGCCAGGAAAGCUAUCAGCAUCCCCCUUUCAGCCCUGCAGCUGCCUGGUCAGGAGGAGCCACCGGCCACUGAGAACAACCUCCCACCUGCCCCACAGCCGCUCCUGGGCAGCGAGGCGGACAGCUCACCCUCGGUGAGCACUGAGCCUGAGGUCAGCUCCAGUCAGCAGCAGCCCCAUGCUGCCUCCACCACCACCACCGAGCCAGUGGUGCAGUCAAUGCCAGACCAGGAUGAGAGAGCAGCGGAGCUCAGCAGGGAGCAGAAUGAGAAGACCAUUCGCAGCACACAGACAGCUCUCCGCAAUUUCCGAGAGUUUCUCAUCUCCAAGUACCCCUCUGAGACCCGGGAGAUCUACGUCAUCCCCUGUAAAGAGCUUGAUGCCUACCUUGCUUCCUUCUUUGUGGAUGCCAGACAGAAGGAUGGGUCUGAAUACGAGCCAAACAGUCUGGCCAACUAUCAGUGUGGGCUGGAGCGGUAUCUCAAAGAGCACAGGUAUGGAUACAGUAUUACGAGGGAUAAGGAGUUCAAGAGGUCGCAGGAAGCAUUAAAGCAAAAGCAGAUAGAGCUGAGGUGUAAAGGAAAAGGAAACAAGCCACACAAAUCCAUGAAGCUCACCUUUGCUGAUGAGCUUAUCCUGCGCAAAAGAGGCUUGUUGAGCCGAUACAAUCCUGAAGGGCUUCUGAAUCUUGUCUGGCUAAACAACACUAAGGCAUUUGGACACUGCACGGGUUUCCAUGGGUCCACCCUCAAGUGGGGAGACAUCAGACUGCGAGUGACAGAAACUGGGUUGGAGUACCUGGAGUGGAUGGGGCCAGACAACGGAGAUGUCAAUGCCAAGAGCAAGAGAGGCGGAACAGACUCCCGGGUGUACGCCACCCAGCACUCCCCACAGACCUGCCCUGUGCAAGACUAUAAGGAGUAUGCCCAGAGGCGGCCUCCAGCCAUGCGCUAUGAGGAUGCGCCUUUUUACCUGUCCAUCAAACCUGUCGUCAACUUGGCCGCACUUCACUGGUAUAAUUGCCAAGCCCUGGGGAAAAACAAGCUUGCCAAGAUGGUAAAGACGAUGUGCGAGAAAGGCAACAUCCCCGGACGGAAGACCAACUUCAGCGUCUACCAGAGCUGUAGCACCCUCUCAGAAGCGCAGAGCAACCAGCUGGUGCUGAUUUGCAAUAACUUGAGCCAGCAGGCUGCCCAGUCCAUGGCAAGCCACUCCAAUACUGGCAACUUCAUAGUGUCAGCAUCCUAUGACUCCUCCUCUGACACGGCUUGAAAGAGGGAUAUCACAUGAACACUUUUUUCUUUUCCUUUUUGUUUCAAGUGUUGAAUUUGUGCCCAAUAAUACACAUCAACUGUGAUUGUACACUAUUCCCCCAUAGCCCUUUCUCCAGUGUUAAUUCACUUUAUAAAAAUAUAUAAAUAUAUAAUAUAUUUUUCUUUUUACAAAUAAGUCAAUAGAAAUAGUUUAGUAUUACUAACAUAGUAUUUAUAGUGUUAAUACAAAAACAUAAUGUACUUAUGGAUUAUAAUAUAAAUGCAGAUUUUAAAAGGACAAAAACGGUUCUCAGGCAACACAAGAUAGACUGGAAAUACCAUUUUGAACAUGCACACAUCAGUGAGUUUAAAUCCCCAGGGAGGCUUACAUAGCAAUUCUAUUUUAAAUCAUUUUUCAACUUAUUUUAACAUGACCUCCCAGAGUGGAGGAGACAAACUUACCACUGGCUGCUGCUUCUUAUCUGCUGGCUUAUUCUUGAUCAGCAAGACCAAGAAAUAAGAGAUACAUCAAUGUAAGUUCAUGAAACCAUUUAACACAUUUUUUUGUCUGGUUUUUUUGUUUCCUGAGGCUCAUUUAUGCUAGAUGGGAAAAAAAAUCCUGAAGUCAGCUGAAGACUGUUUUUAACUUUUGUUUUUGAUGAUGAUUUUCUGUGAUCAAAAUGUUGCUAGUCUUUAGACUAAAAAGUAUUGUUUUCAACAACAUGCAAAACUCUUAAUGGCAAAACCACUGUCAGACACAUAAUUUUAACUGUUUGAGCAUGGGUUUUUAGUAUUUUGUCACUGUGUAUACUUAAUGUAAAAUCUACUGACUUAGAGCCACUCUUUCAGUAUUAUGAGGAAUGCAAUAGUGCAGAAAAACCACAGUCUUACCACAAACUGUACAGAAAAAAAUAACUUCAAAUAUGUCUUAAGCCAUCAUUUGAAAUCUGCAGAAAGAACAUAGAGAGUGUAAUGAUAAUUUCAUAUUUACUACAAAAAAUUUAAAAGUUGGAUAGUUUUAAGUGCUGGAAAACAAAUUUAAGUCAGCUACACAUAAUCUAUUUCCAUUGCAGACGAUGGAAGAUGUGUAUGUGAAUCUGAAGGCAGAAUUUGGUCCUUAAAGCCUUGAGAUAAUCAAUGCUACUGUUCCAAUAUUUGGCCUUGCAAUAUAGUUGUUCUUCUGCUCUAAGUAUGAGGAAAACACUAAAAAAUUCAGUAUUCCAGUGAAUUAUUAUAAUUCUUGACCUUUAAAAUUAUGUACAGUACUUCUCCAAUAAUUCAGCUUAGUCUGUGUUCCAGUAGGAUAUCCUAAGGCUGUGAUGAGGCUUUAGACAAGUCUGCUGGGGUGAUCUAAUGCCCGCUGAAGUCAGUGGAAGAGUCAACCUCAGCUGACUUCCAAUGGGUGUUGGAUCAAACUGUUACUGAGGGUGUUCUUUGCUUUGGUGUUUUUAAUUGUUGGUUUUCUUUUUUCCCUUCCCAUUCCUGCAUAUCCUUAAUAUUCUUUAGAUCUGCAACUGUGCAGUGACUUUAAUCAUCACUAAUUCCAAAGAAAGUGUGAAACAAAGGUAGCAGACAGAAAAAAAUAAAGGCACAAAGCCUGCACCUCACUUAAGCCUUACUGAAGGUCUGUUUGGGAGGUGGGGUAGGUAGCAGAUGUGCCACUGAAAGGUCUAAGAGAAGAGAUUCCACUAUAAUAAAUACCUGUCUUCCCACAAAACUUCCUGCAGGUGACACAGGCUGGCUCUGAUCUCUUUGUGCUCUGCACAUAGCAAGGCUGGUACAAAGUAUGGGUUUCCUGAGUGCCGAUGGUCCCAGGGUCUUGCAUGCCAUGACAGUCUAGCCACCAAAUCUUCAGCCUCUGAGUUACAGGCCGCUGUCUCUCAAGGCUGUAGGGUAGGCAGUGGAUUGAUGGGCCCAGGCGGUCAUUCAUUCUGCAGAGCUAUGCUUUUGUGACUUGAUUCUGGGGAUUGAGACCAAAUCAUGACACUACUGAAGUGAGUGCAAGCUGUGCCCAUGACUUUCAGUACAAUGGCAAAUCGGACUUGUAGGUAAAGGAGAAAGAAGCACAAAAAGGCUCGGGCUGCCCAGCUUCCAAAUGAGGCUAGCCAUCUGAUUGUUGUUUGCACAGCCUUGCCUUUUCAUGGCAGUUCUUUUAAUGUGAUAGACUUAGAUUUUCAAGGUCAGUGCUGCUCUCUGUGGGAUUUCUUUGCUGUUUCUCACUAAAGAUUCACACAGCUGUUCCUAGUAUGUGCUGGAGUGCGGGGGGUACCAUGCCAAGGAGCUCCCUAUGGGUGCCAGGUGGGAGCUCAACCAUGGAGCCAGCCUCUAAGUAAAGUCUCUGGUUUCUGUUUCUCUCCUAUUGGCACUCAUCUCAGCACUUCCCAGUGGCAGCUAUUGCAGGAUCUGACGUAGUUCCCCACUUUACCUUUCCUGUGCUGCAACACAAAGCUUGGUCUUUUUGGGGCAGCAGAUCUCUGCUUCCCACCUCUCCUCCCCUGCCCAAUCACCCUUCUUUGCUGGGAAGAGCUGCCUUGAGCUUGUAGGGGAAAGAAGCCACCCCAAGGUGCAGCUGUCUUGUGUCUACCCUCAAGCCCUACAAGGCUGGAAACCAGACCUUAUAGCCAAAUUGCUUCUCACACUAUUAUCAGGCUCAGAACUUGGUAAUGGUUCACAUCUGCAGGUAUGCCUUAAGCGUGUUGCUUCAGAGUGGGCUAUUUUGUGUGAGUUAUUUAGUAUGGUAAUUCCACAGUUGUUCUUGUCUAUGAGGAGCUGCCGAUAUGCUGUGCUGCAAGCAGGUCUUUGAAGUGCUGCUUCACAUCAGUGCUGUAAUUCAGCCCUAGCACAGACCUUGGCUCUGUUGUGAGAUGCCAAAAAUGCUCAGUGACCCAGAAGAAAGAUGGGCACUCUUGGGUUUUCAGCUGGGAGGUCAUAAAAAGCAUUUCCCAUGACUUUUUGACUCUGCAUACUGUCUGAGUCAUUUACCACAGUAUUAGGAUGGUUUGUGCUAGCGUCCAGCCCAUGUGCUGGGUGAGGCAACAUUUCUGAUACCCUUGGCUCAGCAGGUCACAUCAGCAACUUCUGCCUGUUUGGUUGGGGGAUAAGCUGUGGAGUACGAUAGCCUCAAUAUUAUAGGGCCAGUUUUGUUCUGCUUUGCAACAUCUCUAGUAACUCCAGCUUCCAGCUGGUGCAGAUUGCCUGGCAAAUUCUGAUGGGGCUGCCCCAAACAGGGGGCAGUUAAACACAUAGGGCCAGUAUAUGAUACCCAAGUAGUAUCAUAUUUAAAAAAAAAAAAAAAAAUCAUUAGCUUUGAAGGGCAUUUUGCACAACAUAUUAUCCAGUCUUCAUAGGUGGAAAAUUGCAAGGAAUCAGGUGACCACAGCUUAAUGAAUUCUUUGUAUUAAGGCCUUGGGAGGAUUGUUAACUGACUAGGAGGGAGACUUCUGAUUUAAACCACUCUCGUGUUUUUGUCUCAUGCUGGUGGGAGAGUAGAUGUCCCAGUUGCUGCAGCUCAGCUGACAGUUGGCAACCCAGUUGCUUGUAACUGUCUCACAGUACUCUGAAGGCGUCAAACCUGCUCCACCAGCAAGUUGCAAGCUCACAACAUCAGUGUGCAGCUUUCCUGAUGCUAAGACAUGGCAGUGUGGCCAGGGGCUAGUGCUGCCAACUGCUACAAGCCUUCCUCACUGCCUAAGCAAAGGAUUGGGGUCUCCUACCAUGGCUCUUGAUACUGAGUACCUUUUACCAUGAAAUAAAAGGGUAGCUGGCAAAACACCGUACUGCUCCCAUCGAGCACAGUCUGUAAGCUGGUGAUUGGGUGGGCUGGCUUACAGUGCAGGUGACUGGCUGUCAUCCUGUGCUUCAGUGUAAAAGCUGAGCUUUUGCCCCACACAGUAAGGCUGUGGUUUCCAUAAGAUGGAGGUAGCUGGCUCCAAAAUGGGACUCUCUCCUUUCUUUCUCCCUUUUUUCCUGCCACUCACCUUUCUUUGGUCUGGUGUUAAAACCCCUUCAGUGAGUCAUUUCAACUCACUAGCCCAGCAAAAAAUGCAACAGAAAAAGGGGAAGUCAGAUUAUUUUGUGCCAGAUUUCAGAGUUGAAUCUGCUCACAAAUUGAGGUGCAGAGCACGUGGGGGAGAUGGAGGUGUGUGUUCCCCUGCCAGUAUCACAGAGUCACUAGCCUGGCUCAGCUACUGCAGCCUUGGAAACCCGGCAAAAAGCUAAUCAGAUUGAGAUCCAUCUGAAUCAUUUGCAGAUGUACUGAUUGCCUUCAGAACCAUUUACCAGCUUUUGGGAGGUUUGGGAGCUACCAAGAGCAAAGUUUGGCCUUGGCUUUAAGAAAGAGGCAGAGUGCCAAAGCACAGACCUGCACACAGUGUGAAGGAGUCUGCACCAAUGUUAGCGCAGCCUUUCCCACGUGGCCUUCUCAUGACACCAAACCAAGAGUCAGACAUGGGGAUUAUACAUGGAUGUCACUGGACUGAUCUGGAUGCAGCUGUGCACAAUACAUGCACUUGGAUCUGUUCACGUGAUUGCACAUUUAGCUGGACAGAGCUGUGGGCACUUGGAUGGCUUAAGCUCUGUUUUAUUAGUCACUCAUGCAUGUAUUUAUGAUAUUGUGGGUUUGCACAAUGUACAUGUAUUCAUGCAGGUAGUUGGAACUGAAGUCUUUGAAAUUUGGGCGCUGCAAACUGCCUGUUUAAUUUUCAAAUAUGUAUUUAUGCAACAAAAUGUAUUUUUUAGUACAGGAGAAUGAAAUACUGUUGUGGACUACAUUGUAGACUAAAUUACAAGGGAUAUCUAAAAUAACAGCACAUAACUUUUUCAUUUGCAUAGUGCAAUAAUUCUAUGAUAGCAGCAUCCAGGCUAUUGACAUAUAGGACAAUCUAAUAAUGGAAUCAGUGUCCCUGUUGCACAUUCUCCUUUGUGAAGAAUAUCAACACUUUCAAGCUGUUUUGUGUUUUUCUGUUUAGAAGCUGCUGUGCACUGGUAUUCAGUCUACAGCGUAGUUGCCCUCUUAGAAAGCAACAUUGUUAUACUGCUGUGCAUGCUCGUCUCAGAUGUUUGUGACCAGAUCUUGUUCUUGCGCAAGCAAUGUGCGGUGGGAAGAAGGGGAUCAGGAAGAGCAGGUGGUGUGCCACUCUAGAACCUGGGCUGCCCUAAGGACUGAAACAGCCUUAAAGGAAACUGAGAUUCCUAUUGCACUAGGUUUCCUCCCUGUCCAGCUUCUAUUUACCCUUUCUUGUCACCGUGUCUGAGUACAUCCCAUAAGUGCAUUGACUGACCCGACUAGCACAUGUGGUGCAUGGGCUGUUCAUUCCUUCUGACAAUAAGCUGCAAAUGACUGUGAUUGACUGACUGGUCCUCCCCAUCCCCGACAUCCUUGCAUCUGCACCAUGGGGCAAGGGGACCACUUUGUGCAGGGUGGCUCUUGGCUGAGAGCUCCCUCCUGCCUUUCAAGUGACCUUCUGCUUUGGGGAUAAUGCGCUCAGGGCGGACCGCCUCGCGUCAGGUACGCGAGGUUUGUGGGAUACUGCACAUGAGCACUCUGGAGGCUCGCAUCUCUUGUGCUGGAAGCACUCUCCCUCUCUCUUCUCUUCUGCUUUUUGUGAGAGCGCUUUCAAUUCAUUAAAUGAGAUGAAAUUCACUCCUGUGUAGAGGACCAGGCCCACGUCUGUGUGCUGCUUGGCCUUCCACCAACUCCCUUAAAAUAGGAUUGAGAUGACUGGUCCUCAACAGUACGUAACUUUUGGGCUCACUGCAUCAUGGAAAUCAGAUCAUCACAUGGUGAGGCAACAGAGCAUGGGGACCCCUCUGACUCCCUGAACUCCCAGAGGCAGUGUGAAUGUGUGGGAAGAAGGAGAGCUUACAGGACACAGAAAUGCAAUUUGAUUUGCCUGAAAUGAGCCAAUUCAUGCUUCUGGGUUAGGGUAAAGAAGGACUCAGCUGUUCACUAUGAAAUGUGACUGGUAGUGGAUCUGCACUUCUUAAUGAGGGUUCUUUGCUAAACGUCGGUGUGAGGAGAUGGCUGCUUUGCUGUCCUUGUGCUUAAGAGAAAGGAUGUAUAUUAUUUUCUUUCUGUGCUUUCAUGUGUCUGCGCUGAAUCUGCCUCUCAGUGCUGAGAAGGAGUGUGGAGAGAAGGCAGUCCAGCUUAAAUAUGGCUAUAUUCCUAGUCAAAAAGCUUGAACUAUGCUCUCUGGUGAUGGUUCCCAUGUGCUGAGCCAUGCCUUCCUUGGUGGUUGGGGACAGUACUGCAUCAGCUGGUGUCUCCCAGGACAUCUGUUGGCUCUGUGCAGAGCCAGCAUGGGUGUCGAUGCACCACUCCAAAAACUGAGAGCCUGGGGGUAGCUUGUCAAGAACACCCCUAUCAGCCAGGUGUCUGCAAACCAAGAAGGGGGAAGGCCCUAAGCACAACUAAAUGAUGAUGCUUUCCCCAUGGACAGCAUAUGAGAGACACAUGAGGCUGGGCUGAUACCUCCUCAAGGGUUUUGGAAACCUAAGGGACCUCACCAGGGACAUCACUGCUUCACCGCUUUCACAGAAGCAUAACUUCAGGCGACGAUGGAGUGACCCUUCUGAGGACAUGUCGGGUUUCUCUGAGCCCUUGGCAAGUUGUGUGGUUGCACGGCUUCCAGCUCCACUCAUGUAAACCAGGGGUCAGCCUGUUCCACCCCCCUGCACUGUCUCAGGCUGAGGCCCUGCAAAGCUCUUCUGAUGUUGUCCUCCAGCACCUCGACAUUUCCAAACAGGAAGUAGAGGGGCAUUUACAGUGGUGAAAUACUGGAAAGCUAAAAAGCCCCACAGUUUAGAGACACCUGUGAGCUUGUUGAAAAGUUUGACACUAGCCAUUCACUCAAACAUGUUUAAAGCAAUGGUGAUGGCUUUAAUUCCAAAUCAGAAAGGGGAAACAAUGGGUUUGGCAUGAAAUGUGCUUGUUACAUGAACUGAUGGGUUUUGACAUAGUCUCUAGAGUCUCUGUCUCAAGCAAGCAAUUUAUUUCCUCUGUUUUUUCACUGAAUUGGUUGUUAGAAUUUUGUCUGCAUUACCAACUAUUUGUUUUAUUAUAAAAAUGCCAUUAAAUUAGUUGUCUGUGCAUUAGAAAUGGAUUUACUGUUUCAAAGGGAUUAGGAUGCUUUUGCCUAAUCUUUUAUUGUUGUGCUCAACAUUGAUUACACAGCAUUCACUAGGAUCUGAAAAAAUCAGUACCUUUUCAGAUUUCAGUGUCAUCUUUUGUAAUUAAUAGAUGCUUUGUUUACAGUGUUUAAGAGACUGGUGAGGUAGGUGCUAUCAUUGAAAUUUCAGUGGGAUAGAGGUUCAGUGGGAAUGAGAAGAGGUGUUUAGCUCUUUCACAAUGCUUCCAGAAUCUGUGUUUGCAUUUUUUGGUUACUACUGUUUUAUACAGUCCAUAAGUGUCAAGAAAAAACAGCCAAGUGAGGGGAUGAGAAGAAAAUGCAAAAUAUUUUGUACAAAAAUAUUGUAUUAUUCCUACACUAGAAAACUAAACUCUUUAAAUUAAUUUUGCAGAUAUCUUUGACACUUCAGCUGUUAUUUUUGUGAACAAAGAUGACUCUAACUUUACUCAUGUCUAGAAUUUGAUCUGCUUUCUGAAGGCUGUAAUCUUGCCAAGACUGUUCUCCUUAUCAUUAUAGCAUGUUCUCAGCUGUCCUAAAUCACCCUGGUCUACCCCACAUUGCUCCUGCCAGAAUUCCUCCUUCUCUUCUAUCAGACAGUUAAUACACUUAGUAUAUGUCAAAUUUCCAGCCUGAAAACAAGCCAGUGCCAGAGUCCAUACUUCAGCCUCUGUAUCUGCAGCAGUGUGUGUGAAGUGUAGAUGCAGAAGGCAAGGCAAUAGUAACUGGCUUCAAAAUGAUUUGGUGACUUUUGCGUAGGAAGACAAAUCUUCUCCUAGUGACAGUGGGGCUGAAGGUGCACUGAACAAUGACUGCAGUGUAAAACGCUUUGUGGAGGCCUUUCUUUUUUGCCUGGUGCUUAUGCUUCAGAUCCUGCAAGCUUUGCCUUCUGUGGGAGCUUUCUCUGUGGGCAGCUUGCAAGACUGGGUUCCUCUGCACAAGGCUGGGCGCAUGGAUAUGAAACGAAAUACCCAGAGCAUUCAGGGAUGUGCAGACAAAAUAUGGCAUGAAAUGUCUUAAUGGAGUCUGAAUGCUGGCAGGGAAGGAAAAGCUGAGCACCUGGUUUUGCUCCCCUUUAUGGCAGUGUGUGCCAGCCGGGUGGUGCUGCUGCCACAGCAGAUUUGGUGCCCAUUCUGCAGAACACUGUGAGAAAUGUAUGUCUGUGCUGCCUGCUGCUGCCCAGCUCAGGCUGUUAGCUGUACGCACAUGUCUGGCCCCACUGGAACAAAUGGGUCUGAAGUAUGCAGGAAAAGAUAUUGCUUGGCCAUGGUUGUGUUGUCAGUGUCUGGUUUUGUCCAUGUGACCCAUCUGCCUCAGAAUCAUCUUGAGACCUAUCAGGGUAGACCAAAUAUUCAGGACUGGAAGAAAGAGAAGUGGCAGAAUAUCUAAGUGUGAUGAAGAUGGUGGAAAGGCAGUGGGAAAACCUGGCAAACACAAUGGAAGUUUUUGUCUUUUUGUCUAACGAAGGCAGCAUAAUCCUUAUCCUUUAAUAUACUACUUUGUUUUACAUUUGAAUUAGGAAAUCUUUUCUGUUUGUUUUAAUUAUAAUUAUCCACUGGCUUUAACUGCCUUUGAAAAGCAUUUUUGCUAUGACAACCCUUGGUCUCACUGUGAGCAGUACUCGGGAGAAACAGCUAAAGUAAGGCUUUUAUCUUUCCCUGCAUGCAAUGUUUAAUCUUUUUAAUCUUUUAAUGUGAAGGUGUUUUCUCCCAUUUUAUAUAUUGACAAGAUUAGCACUGUUUCUUCCAAAACAGCCACUGAAAAACAUAUUUUGCUUAAACGUAACCAAAUUUCCACCAAACAAUGUGAAUUCUCCUAAGUGACCAAUUCAUUCUCAGAGUUAAACCUGUCUCUAAGGCUAACUUACACUCACUGACUUCAGUGACAACUCAACUUUUUUAAGAACUGUUUGUAAAAAAGUAGAUUUUGUUAAUGCUUUUGUUUUGUUUUAUAAGAAAAAGAUUCACUGUCUUGCCAAAUAAUAAUUAAUAUUUCUAUGCAUUGUGUGAUUCAGUGAUGUUGCUGUUGAAAUUUUGCAUGUUUUCUAGAUGUUUUGACAUUUGUACAUUUAUGUGGUACUUGUAAAAAUGCUAACCAUUGCUGCUAUAAUCACCACCCUUGUAGGUAACUGAAAACUGCACUAUGAAGCUGUGCCAGUUAGCAGGUUUUUGUGUGUGUCAUGGUAAAACUCUGCAUUCUGCUGUUUUUUCCUGUUUUAAGCCAGUAUUUAGUGCCUUCUGUAGAAGGAAUCAAUAUGUUGUGGUAGACAGGAGGUGCCAAACUUCUAAUAUCUUGUUCUGCACAGAUGAUCACUUACCAGCUUGAAGCUUAAAAAAAAGUAAAAUAGAAAAAAACUCUUGAACUCUCCAUCUUUCUUUAAAGUGUCUUCUCUUAAUUAAUUUUCAUUUGGAAAAAAACCUUUAAUAGAGCUGAAAACAAGCCAUCUUCCCCAGCUACACCUUCUGCAGCAGCAGUCUGCCAGCUGUGAAUGUGAGGGGUAUGAGGGAAUGCACGGUACUCAAAAGUUCCUGUUGGAUCCUCUUGGAUCCACUGAUUAGCCAAGCCUGUUCAAGUCAUUGCAGAGCACGCAAAAAUACCGUUUAAUGAAAGCAAUCCUGAUUACCAUAAGAAACUGUUAGCUCUCGUAACAGUUGUGGGCCUGCUCUUGUAAACAAGUGUCAGCGUGGUCAAGUGGUGGAUUCCAGUCCCUGUUCCGCCUCCGAUGAAGACAUGCAUUGCUGCCAAAUGAGACUUGGAUGAAAUUCAAGCCCAAGAUUUUUGGUCUCGUUCUUUCCAACUGCUUUCAUGGCAGACAAGUCCUGUUUAUCGAAAUUCUGACACUGCAUUUUCAGCUCCUUUUCCACCCUCUGCUUAGAAUCUGGCAAUACAGCAAAUAGACUCAUAACGCAUUCAUUUUGAUUUUUAUAAGAUUUUGACAGUCUGGAAUCAUACCAUAGUGUAAUCAUGCAACAGAAACAGACAGGAGGGAAAUGUGAGAUGUUAAUCUGCCUAGCGCAUUUCCCAGCCACCAGGCAUGGUCAACUGCCUAGGAUGGUCUUCAAAACAGUAUUUUGUAUGGAAAAAAAGAAAAGACUAACCACCACUUUUCCAUCUCAACUGAGAGAUGAAAGCCUGUUACAUCUCUUGAAAAGACUUUUCAAAUCAGAAUACCGAUUUGCCAGAAAAACUGUGUGAUUGGGAAAAUAAGAGUGCAUUGAACUCAUUCUUAUUGGUGCUGGUCUAAAGCCAUCUCUGUUCCCCAGCAAGACAACCCUUUUGAUACAACCCUUUUGAUGUGAAAUACUUAAAAAAAAAAAAAAAAA